rnacentral:lncRNA from 1 species
AUGAAAGUCAAUAGAUAAUUCCAUAUCAUUCCAUUCCAUGCUUACAAUUUAGUUUGUAUAAAACACUUGUAUCAAAGUCAUGGGUGUGGUAGAAAAGAAACUACAUUCGAGUUCGUUGGUCAAAGUCAUUUGGAGUGCUCUUAUGGCUUGAUGUGGUCGUUGUAUUUUAGGAGAUGAUUACCGGAAAAUCGUUAGCACCAAUGCGGGACAAAUUCAUCUUAAGGACAAAGUGUCUAACACUUGCAUCGGCCGAUCGCAUCACUCGCAUCUCACCUUGAUUCUUUCUGAUUUUUUCUUCGUAUUUAAUUUCAGAAAAUUAAUAACAUUCUUUUAAUUUCAUUUAGAUUUGAAAUAAAGAAAGGAAAUGAAUGAAAUCUAUCGUUUCAUUUUCCCAAAUCCAUUUCAGUAAGACGAAACUGCGUUUAGAUUUUGUGAACAUAAAUGACAUGUGUUUGUGAAUAUGAUAUGCACAAUAUGUGUAAUUUUCCAACAACUGAGCAGUGAGCAUUGCAAACAUGAUAUUUGUGGAGUCGAAUCACUGAUCAAAAUGAUAAAUUGUAAAAAUAAAAAAAUUAUACAAAAAUAACAAAUUGGAUGAAUACGGAAUACCUGCAAUUCCCGUUCAAGAAUCAAGAACCUGUCAGAACUCGAUUUUUCCGAACUCAAAACUUCAGUUCCAAUUCAAAGGGUGAUGCCCACCACUUAGCUCCAGUUUAUAAACGUUUGAAGCUCUCUUUCCCUCGUUUCUAUCAUUCAUUCCUUUUUCCCCUCAUCUCUUCUGUGGGUGGUUUCUUUUCUGCAUAACAGAAAAUCCAUUUUUUUGUCGGUCAGUUUCAAGUUCUGAUUUGGGUUCUAUGGAACUUAGGACAUUCGAAUUAUUUAUUUCAUACGUAUUCAUAAUUAGAUAUGCAUGUAACUCUACUUGUAUUAAGCUCUUUUAUUUGGAUCCGACAAGCUUACUGCUAGUUUAGCACUGAUUAAUUUGAUGGAUCAUUUUCCCAGGUGGAUAAAUAGAUUUCUAGAUGGCUUCAGCUAUGCUAUCUCUUGCGUCUGCUUCACUCUCAUUGCAAGAGAAUCUCAGGGUACCCAUUCACUAACGAUAUUAAAUAAUAGUGUACAAACAAUUCCUAUUUAAUCACGAUAAACUUCUUUUUACUUCUUUGUAUCUGAGUAAGGAAUGGCAAUCUGAAAUUUUUUACUUUGAAGAAUUGAAAUUCAUUAUUUUUCUUGCUUCUCGGUUUUACCAGACUAAUUGGAAGCCCGGAACUUCUAGGCAAAUUAAAUGCUUGGGAUCAGAUUUUAGCAAGAC